AGUCGAGCGAGCUUGCCUAGAUGAAUUUGGUGCUUGCACCAGAUGAAACUAGAUACAAGCGAGCGGCGGACGGGUGAGUAACACGUGGGUAACCUGCCCAAGAGACUGGGAUAACACCUGGAAACAGAUGCUAAUACCGGAUAACAACACUAGACGCAUGUCUAGAGUUUAAAAGAUGGUUCUGCUAUCACUCUUGGAUGGACCUGCGGUGCAUUAGCUAGUUGGUAAGGUAACGGCUUACCAAGGCAAUGAUGCAUAGCCGAGUUGAGAGACUGAUCGGCCACAUUGGGACUGAGACACGGCCCAAACUCCUACGGGAGGCAGCAGUAGGGAAUCUUCCACAAUGGACGCAAGUCUGAUGGAGCAACGCCGCGUGAGUGAAGAAGGGUUUCGGCUCGUAAAGCUCUGUUGGUAGUGAAGAAAGAUAGAGGUAGUAACUGGCCUUUAUUUGACGGUAAUUACUUAGAAAGUCACGGCUAACUACGUGCCAGCAGCCGCGGUAAUACGUAGGUGGCAAGCGUUGUCCGGAUUUAUUGGGCGUAAAGCGAGUGCAGGCGGUUCAAUAAGUCUGAUGUGAAAGCCUUCGGCUCAACCGGAGAAUUGCAUCAGAAACUGUUGAACUUGAGUGCAGAAGAGGAGAGUGGAACUCCAUGUGUAGCGGUGGAAUGCGUAGAUAUAUGGAAGAACACCAGUGGCGAAGGCGGCUCUCUGGUCUGCAACUGACGCUGAGGCUCGAAAGCAUGGGUAGCGAACAGGAUUAGAUACCCUGGUAGUCCAUGCCGUANACGAUGAGUGCUAAGUGUUGGGAGGUUUCCGCCUCUCAGUGCUGCAGCUAACGCAUUAAGCA
rnacentral:rRNA from 1 species